UGAGAAGGAAUAAAUAUUACUUCAGCAUGC
rnacentral:piRNA from 1 species